rnacentral:rRNA from 1 species
CCUACGGGAGGCAGCAGUGAGGAAUAUUGGUCAAUGGGCGUAAGCCUGAACCAGCCAAGUAGCGUGAGGGAUGACGGCCCUAUGGGUUGUAAACUUCUUUUAUCUGGGGAUAAAGGGCGGUAUGUAUACUGCUUUGAAUGUACCUUAUGAAUAAGGAUCGGCUAACUCCGUGCCAGCAGCCGCGGUAAUACGGAGGAUCCGAGCGUUAUCCGGAUUUAUUGGGUUUAAAGGGAGCGUAGGCGGGUUGUUAAGUCAGUGGUGAAAGUUUGCGGCUCAACCGUAAAACUGCAGUUGAUACUGGCAUCCUUGAGUACAGUAGAGGUAGGCGGAAUGCGUGGUGUAGCGGUGAAAUGCUUAGAUAUCACGAAGAACUCCGAUUGCGAAGGCAGCCUGCUAGACUGUAACUGACGCUGAUGCUCGAAAGUGUGGGUAUCAAACAGGAUUAGAUACCCCUGUAGUC